rnacentral:lncRNA from 1 species
GUGCUAGAAGCUAUGCGAGCAGGAAAUACGGCAUGGCUACCAUGUUUUGACGUCACUAUUGGUGGCGACUGCAGUCCGGGAAAAGUCCGUGCGCGGCAAUUUCGCUUUUUAUCGUCUGCUAAUUUCAUGCUUGUAUGCCCUGAAAAAUGAAGUAAGUACUGCGCACUAACCAGUUUAAGCGUGCGCUUAAGCGACUGCAGCUUAAGCGGUCAGCCAAUACAUUAGGUUGAAUGGCAACAGGGCGAGGGAUUCAUUGCGACUGUAUUUAAACCGGAAUUACUUAGCGUGUAUGUAUUCACGAGGUUUUACUGUAUUGCCUUUUACAGGUGAUAACCUUGUGGUAGUUACUACAAAUUCGAGCAUAUGUGUUGGUACUCCUUUAAGAAGCUGUACACUUAAUAAUGUGAAGGAUUGCAUUAACUGGCGAUACUCAGCUGAACUCUACAGUAUAAACUUGGCAAUGUCAUGGCUGUGGCAUUCAAUGGUUGGGUACUAUUGUAGUGAAGAUUCUUUGUCAAUCUCGACAAGUUCACUAUUGUGAGGUUUACUGCACUUCUGCUGGUUUGCAGGGCAGCAUACAUUAAAGGAAGGUGUUAAAUUUCGUGGUUCAUGGCGAAGUUAAUACAGUGACUGGAUUUUAGUGAUGGUGAAAAGAAAAAGUGGCAAGGAGAUGCAUGUAGAGAUGUCGUGGAAUAGGUUGCGUGCAGAUGACUGUACGAUAAAGAAGCAUUUCAUGCUUACAGCUAGUUCGAGGUACAAAUUAUGUCAUGUUUUACUAAAACACAGACUAGAGUACUUACAUCCCUGUCUUAAAAAGUUUAGAAUUUUGAUCUGCUGAAGGCCUACUGUAGUGAGCUUUGUGCCACAUGAGGGUACGAGUUGAACACUGAGAAGCAGUAGAGCAUUGAGAGCAGAAAUGCAGCAGCUUAAUUAAAGUGUUACCCCACCCACCUCUUGGUGGCUCUAGCUUCUCGCAUCAACGUGUGGAUGUAAUUAAGAGGACGCUUUAGCUCGAUGCCGACUCCAACUUCCAUGUUAAAAUACAUGUAAAACACAAAAAUGCUUUCAUCAGAGUACCGCUGGACCGAGUUGAGUGAAAUUUGUUACAUCUAAGGGGGAAAGCUUAAUUUUACUGACUGUAGGAAGCAGAAUUUAAUUCAGGGCCUGAAUUUUUUUUACAAAUAUUGCUGAAAGCCAGCAAGUUCCAAAAAUAUUGAAACACGGAGUUCACAGAUCUAAUUAUGCAUCAAAAACAGAUAUUGCAGUUCUGUAAACUUUAUCUGUUGGAGCAUCGGAAGCAGACAAAUUUGAUAUGUGAGUUUACAGCUAGUGUGAAAUUGAUACAAUAUUGACAAAGGUUUUGAAAAAGCCCUGCUCGUAAACUAAUGGUAUACUUCAGAGCUGUUUAUUAUACAUCACAUUUGUACGCUUUAGAUGUCUCAUUAGCAGUUUACAGCAUUGCAAGAAGCUUGGUUGCCGAACAUCUGCCAUGCCUAGAAGAAAAAGGCAGUGGCAUCCCAUUACGCCCUGUUAUCAUCUUUGAAUUUUACUGGUGGGCUCCCUUGCAUGGUGUGUGUUGUCAUGAUUUUGUGUCAGGGAACUUUGAGACUGCUUCAGUUUGGAGUUUUAUGCAAAAUUUCUAAAGAAAUGAAGAGAUAACACGCUUAACAUUGCUAUAACACGGUUCCGGUAAGCAAUUAGUCACAUGAGUGAAAGCCAAACAGUUUGGGCAUUUGGGCAUGCGGGUUGGAGGUGGGGAGUGAAGACCGUUGACAAUGGGCAUGGAGAGAGAAAAUAUACAUACUUUAUUCAAAUAUUAAGAGACCCUAAGUCCAAGGUUUCUCUGCUGUAUCACCUUCGAUGUCAUCCUAUGCGGCAUAAGCAGAUAUGGCAUUCACAAUGUCCAGAGUAAUGGCUCUCAUCCAAAAGGUGCUAGGAAUGUUCAAAUACCGUAAGUGGUGAGAGGAAUGGAGCAUCCAGGUUAUGGGAAAGGGUUGCUGUAGUCAUUAUGACAAGGUGCGUGCUGCAGCUUACUGAGUAUGGAUUUGACUUUGUUUUAUUGAUAUCCAUUUACUAGCUCAUUUGUGUGUUCUGAUGUUACACUUUACAUCACUGAGUUUUUAAGCAACACCAUAGCAGGCAUUGUGUGUAAAUGACACGACUAUAUAGUUACUGCACAUCACUCUGUCUGGCUCUGUUAUAAGUCAUAUAGAUGAAUUAUGGGCAAAUAAGGUCAUUAGCAAUAGUUUCACGGGCCCUCAAAAAUGUUUUCACAAAUUUAAAGGGUUCCGUUUGCUUCUAUAAGCUCCUGUGUUUUUUUUUUUUUAAUUGGUACUGCUUCUCUGUUCAUUGAAGGUUGCAACAAGCUCAACAAUGCAAGAAAGUAGGCUAGUUGUUUGUUUCUAUGUUUUCUCGCUCACGCUUAUUUAAAAAUUGACAUGUUUGUGAUGGCACAUGGCUGUGUGCCGCAUUUCUUUUGUUUGUUGUGUUAGUGACCAAAAUAAUGUAGCAAUCAUAUGACCCAGUGUGCAUCUGUUUGAAACAUGUGACAGUGGGUGCAGCAAUUUUUUAUGCCCUCUGAAGAUAAAUAUGAGUGAAUCUGCAGUAAGGUCACCAAUGUGAUAACUUAUGGUAUAUUCGGCUUUUUGGUUUCAAGCGCUCUGUAGCACUCUGGCUACGAAUGGUACUUUCGUCUGGUGGAAAUUGAGCACUCAGAACACAUUCUCCUUGUUCAUUCAGAGUCCUCAGAGAUGCUGUCACUUUCAAGCUUGGAGCACGGCUGUGAUCCGAUAGAAUUUCAGUCACAUAGCUCCCCCGAAUGCUCUGAGAACAGCUGAGCAUUUAUCUCGGGGCAGGCUUUCUCUGGCUUCGCAUCAGUGCAAACCAAGUCUAAGCGCCGUGUGAACCAGUCGAAUCUACCAUUAGCUAGCACUUGGCUUUAACUUGUUCAACAUUUGAGUUGGAACUGUGUAGGAAUGCAUGUACUGCAGCCCGACAUUUGAAUGUUUUAAAUAGUCUAUAGUUGCCAAACCAUGUAUUGAAUUGUGGAAAUUUUCAGUACCGUCAAUGAAUAAUGUCCUGCUAAAAUAAGUCAAGAAACUUUGACCUUGCAUAGAUGUAAUCACGUACUGUGCUCAUUUACACAUACUUUUUUUUUUAUCCUUUUGAUUACAUUCCUUAAAAUAUUAAAUGAAUGCAUACCCAAGCAUUUAUUGUAGGCAGGAGCGAGAAGACUGAGGGGAAUCGAGGAGCUUGAUUCUUUUGCUAGUGCCACAUGAGGCUUUGUUCCUUACGCUCAUGCAAGAAUUUUAAAAAGGAUUGUUGUUGGAGAAAGAAAGCAGGCCUUUUAUAAAUGUGCUUAAUUGAUCGGACAAUUUAGCGACAUGUGUAGGUGAUAAAACGCUUAAGUGUUGAGAGAUUCCUUGGUUCUACUUUGUGUGGUAGAUUUUGGAGCCUGCAUCUGCCCAGAAUUAACUUGGCAAUCCUUGCACCAUGCCCAGGUGUCCUUGCACAAUUUAUUCUCUGGUUAUUUCAUGAGACCAUGCAUGUGCCCACUGCACACUUUUGCAUUGAUUUCGCUUCUUAAGGUGCAGGUGAAGUCAUUUUGAUGAGGAAAAGCAAAAUUCAGAGCAAUUGCUGUCAUUUCAAAACAGUGCUGGUAGGCCUCAUUAUUUGUUAGAUGGCUGUAAAUUUUUUGGCACUAUCUGAUGGAUAGGUAAGGUGACCCAAGCUAGCUUGACGAGUGCAAUUGGUUUCUGGUAAGAAAAAUACGGGAACUGCAGUCUCAAUAAGCAAGAUUCGUGUUUGCUGAUGUUUGUAGUACAACCUGCUAGGAUGAGUACAGCUGAGGCUAAGCACUUGAAGGGUCAUGUUGAAGGAAAUCGGUGCCUAGUCUCGGUGCUACCUUCUGACCUUCAGCAGCCCAAUUAUGACUUCUUUUAGUGCUUGCGGCAGGUGAUCAAAAAAUUAAAAAAUGAAUUGCUUGACGGUUCACCAGGCUUUUACAAGUUCAUUGAGAAAGGUUUAUUAAGAAUAGACUGCAGCUAGUCAGCUGUGUCCUAUUCCAUGUUGGAAACAUACAAGCUCUGUAAAAGUCAUCAGUUUACUCUUGUUUUGCUAGCUUGGUGAGGUUUAGUCAUUAGUGCUCACAAAUGUUCUCACUCUUUAUGUCAUUUAGGCACCCAAAGGAUGUAUCAUUAAGCACGUUUUGCUGGUGGGUGUGCAUUUUUUAAAAAUUUUUAUUCUUUGUGUGCAGAAAUUUUGUCCGGGUACCACUAAUAGGAGCUCAACACAUAUAAGCACAAUAACCCAUUACUACUGGUUAAUGUGUUUGUGAUUAGUUUGGAAGCACUGCAGUACACUGAUCUUCAUUUUUCCCUUAAAACCUUACAAGAAAGGUUUUUGCUCUUGCCACUGCCUUGCUUUUGCUCAAAUUUCAUAGCAAAAUCACAUCUUAGGGCCCUAAUUGUUUAAUAUAACACUUGGUGCUGUUACUAGCCUGGUUUGUCAACAAAAGCCUUCAUCUUCAUCCCCCGUAGUGAGUGAUGUCUAAGACAUGGCAGCUAUGAUGUUACCUGGUGCCUUCUGGCAUCUGCAGUGCCGCAAAGCAUGGCCUUCAAAAUUAUAUCAUUUUCUAUGUGCGGGGGUUCAAUGUGAACACCAAGAGGGGUGCAGGGGAAGGCACGUGCACUCUUUUUUGUUUUCACAAACCGACAAGGACAGUGCCAAGUGUUAUUAUGAACAAUCUGAACCAUAGCAUGUAGCUUUGCUGUGAAAUUUGAGCAAGGACAAAGCAGCAGCAGGUUCAAAAUCUUUUUUAUUUUAAGGGAAAAACUGCAGGUCACCGUAUAACUGUAGCACAGUCCCUGCAGUACUGUAGUCGGGACUUUAUUCCAUCGAGCGUUUCCAGCCUUCUGGUAACCUGUUUCUCUUUCGUGGCAGGGUUUGCUUGUGGGAUAUUAAAAAUUUCUGCUAGUGUUCCGAUACCGGAAGACUAUCCUUGGCUGUACCCUGUCUCUCUCAUGUGCUCAGUUAUUUAUUAAUUUUCAAAAGUGUUGCUUGCAGGUGCAUCUGUAUGUAUAAGCACAUUUUGUUUUAAACAGAAAAGAUCAUUCAUAAAGUGUGAUUUCCUUGUCGUGUGUGCUCUGAA